GGGGUGGGAAAAGUCACAUCUUCGGACUUCUAAGCCGAGGGUCGGGGGUUCGAGCCCCUCCUGCCGUACCA
rnacentral:tRNA from 1 species